rnacentral:rRNA from 1 species
UUCACGGAGAGUUUGAUCCUGGCUCAGGACGAACGCUGGCGGCUCGCUUAACACAUGCAAGUCGAGCGAGAACCAGUCCUUCGGGACUGGGGACAGCGGCGAACGGGUGAGUAACACGUGAGUAAUCCACCCUUGGCACCGGAAUAGCCCGGGGAAACCCGGAUUAAUGCCGGAUGGCCCGACAGCCUCUCGGGGCGGUCGGGAAAGAUAGCUUCGGCCUUCGGCCAAGGACGAGCUCGCGGCGGAUUAGCUUGUUGGCGGGGUAAAGGCCCACCAAGGCGACGAUCCGUAGCUGGUCUGAGAGGACGAUCAGCCACACUGGGACUGAGACACGGCCCAGACUCCUACGGGAGGCAGCAGUGGGGAAUCUUGCGCAAUGGGCGAAAGCCUGACGCAGCGACGCCGCGUGAGGGAAGAA